UACGGGGGGAGCAAGCGUUGUUCGGAUUUACUGGGCGUAAAGGGCGCGUAGGCGGUCAGCACAAGUCAGUUGUGAAAUCUCCGGGCUUAACUCGGAAAGGUCAACUGAUACUGUGCGACUAGAGUGCGGAAGGGGCAACUGGAAUUCUCGGUGUAGCGGUGAAAUGCGUAGAUAUCGAGAGGAACACCUGCGGCGAAGCGGGUUGCUGGGCCGACACUGACGCUGAUGAGCGAAAGCGUGGGGAGCGAACAGG
rnacentral:rRNA from 1 species